CCCACGCAGGGGAUAAAGCGUAAACAAUGCAUUCGUUAUGGAAAAACGUGAGUAGUUAUGUGUACAAGUUUAUCAUAUCAUGUUAUAGCUUUAAAAUAUGUUACCCUUUUCAUUUGGUAUCUAGUGCUCACCGCUCAAGGUUAUCUUAUAUGUACUCUGCACCAAACUAUGCAACACAUGUGGCUGGACAUUUAUACGGGCUAAUGGUCUGUCAAAACAAAACAAUCCUCUCAUAACGCACAGCCUGAUGUAGGCCUGUGUUAAUGAUGCAAUUCUGGUAAAAAGAUAUACAUACUACCACAUUAUUAAAC